CCCCCGAUCUACAAGGAGGCUCAGAUUCUCAGGAUUUUGUUCGAUCUUCUCCCCAGACUCGGACUUGAGUCAUCGUUUCCCAGGCGAGUAGACAGGAUAUGUUAUGUUUACCAUAUUUUUAUGCACAUAUAUAAAUUGUUCUAUGCAUAACUUGUAAAUGAUUUCUAUAUUCAAAUCAUAGAAAAUAUUCUCUUUUAAUUGUUCCUAAAUUACAUGAAAUAUUUUCAUCCUACUAGGAGAGACAUAAACAGAAAGAUACCCUAACUGAUUUCUUGUUUUGAGAAUGUAAAAUGUUGAAUGAUAUGGUGUAUUUUAGACACCACAUGAAAUGAUAAAUGAUUAUGACUUGUGCAUAAAUUAGGGUAUCAUUUGCAUUAUUAUUAGAGGACUAUCUAGUAGAUUCCCUGGUGACUCACAGCAGGAAAAGAUCAUGGUACUGUGAGGCUUGGCAUGCCAAGGCCAUGAGAGACACGGAUAGUAUGUUUCAGCACUGCUAUCACGUGGGCCUUUAUGAUGAUAUUGUGUGAUGAUGAUGUAUGUGCCGAUAUAUAUACUUGUGUGCAUGUGUAUAUAGGCGUUAGGCCAGUUUCUACUAGUGUGUCCUCAGAAUCAGUGCAUGCAUCUCAUACAAAAGUAUAGGGGACUUAGGUGGUUAGGGAACUACUUAUGGGGGUUGUCUUUAGGCACCUAUUUUUCCUACACUAUGUUUUCCUUUGAAACCUCAAAUUAUUUAAACUUAUGGUUCAUAUUUCCACUGUUUAUACUGUUAUUACGUUAUUAUACUCAUGAAGAUCAUCCUAGCAUUUUAUUGUAUACUCUCCUAGUGGGCAUGACAUACCUUAUACUCGCGAGUCCACAAGACUCACCUCGUUUUAUUAAAAAUAUUUUCAGGGAAUUCUCCUUUUGAUUAUUGGUCCAGCAGAUCUUCUGGGAUGAUACCUACUCGUUCUCGGACAGCAUCCAGGCAGACAGAUUCUUUAGGGGGUGAUCAGGCUCCUCAGCCCUCACCUACCAGUGGUUACACGGUCAGAGGCCGUGGACGAGGUCGUGGCGAACGACGUGGC